rnacentral:lncRNA from 1 species
CAGGCGUGUAAUUUCUUUGUUUUUAAUGCUCAUUAGAUUCAAUGAAAUGUGAGUAUUGAGGAAAUGCAGAGGUUGGAACUCAGGAGUUUUCUAAAACUUUUAGAACACACUCCCCUAUUUAUUCAAGUGUUGUUUUGUUCUAAUUUGCAGAGUUGUGCACACAGCCCAUAGUUUCUGAAUAGGUCACCCAGUGUCAGGGUUCUUUUCCUCCCAAAUGAAUUGUGUUUUUAACAGGAACCAUUUUUCCAUUUGCACAAAGCUCCAUUCCUGGGGCCAUUUGUGCCUGAGAGGUUCUAGAAAGAAAUUCUGCUCAGCGCCUCCACUUCUGGUGAACAAUCCUAAGCAAGACUACUUCCCUAGGCACCUUCAGUUUCUGAUGAUACAUCAGGACAGCUGGACCUCUUCCCAUGUGCAGUCUUAGGUUUGAAAGGCGUUUCAUAUGAUCACAUCAGCUGAUUUCCCCCCUGUAUCCUGACUUCCCCACACACACUGAAAGGUACCCCUAUUCAUGUAUAUAGGCAUCUUGUUUUCCCCACUGGAUAUCCUAGAAGCUUAUAAAACUUAUAUCCUGUGGGAAGCUCAUUGCUUAUUAUUACAGAUUUUUCAUUACAAGAUUUUCUUUUUAGUGCAGUAUUUUUUUUAUUAUAACACUGAACAAUUGAAUUAAAAUAUUAUGGAAUUAAAAUAUUAAGAAUUUGGGGCUGGGGUUGUGGCUCAGCGGUAGAGUGCUCGCCUAGCACAUGCUAACCCUGGGUUCGAUCCUCAGCACCACAUAAAAAUAAAUAUUGUGUCCAACUAAAAAAUAAAUAGUUUUAAAAAUAUAUUAAGGAUUUCUAAAUUAUUUGUUCUUUUUAGAGAUACACAGCAGUAGAGUGUAGUCGGCAUAUUAUACACACACGGAGUCUAACAUCCCAUUCUUGUGGUUGAAUGUGAUGUGGAGUUUUACUGGUCGUGUAUUCACAUAGGAUCAUAGGAAAGUGAUGUCCGAUUCAUUCUGCCGUCCUUCCUGUUCCAGUCUCCUCUCCCUUCCUUUCCUUCUCCUUUGUCUAAUCCAAAGGACUUUAUUCUUCUCCUCCCCACCCCCCCUUGUUGUGGGUUAGCAUCCUCA